UGAGAUGAGAUUACCCCAUAC
rnacentral:miRNA from 2 species